GCUCGAUGUUAAUAUUCUUAA
rnacentral:miRNA from 1 species